AGAUGCAACAAAUGCCAUCCACAGUAAAUAGACAUACUCAUGUUGUGGCCAGGCAUGCAAGUUUGGUCAGCUCUGCAUGAGGCCGGUGUAAUUUCCCAGGAUGUGUGCCAAGACAUGGCAGAACAUGCCCUGUUAAACAAACAAGAGAGUGUUGUGGUUGCUCUGAUGAACACAGGAGGAAAGCAGGAGAAGAAAUACAUGGGCAUAAUUUGUCUGUCAGUAAU